rnacentral:rRNA from 1 species
GGACGAACGCUGGCGGCGUGCUUAACACGUGCAAGUCGAACGGAAAGGCCCUGCUUUUGUGGGGUGCUCGAGUGGCGACCGGGUGAGUAACACGUGAGUAACCUGCCCUUGACUUUGGGAUAACUUCAGGAAACUGGGGCUAAUACCGGAUAGGAGCUCCUGCUGCAUGGUGGGGGUUGGAAAGUUUCGGCGGUUGGGGAUGGACUCGCGGCUUAUCAGCUUGUUGGUGGGGUAGUGGCUUACCAAGGCUUUGACGGGUAGCCGGCCUGAGAGGGUGACCGGCCACAUUGGGACUGAGAUACGGCCCAGACUCCUACGGGAGGCAGCAGUGGGGAAUAUUGCACAAUGGGCGGAAGCCUGAUGCAGCAACGCCGCGUGCGGGAUGACGGCCUUCGGGUUGUAAACCGCUUUCGCCUGUGACGAAGCGUGAGUGACGGUAAUGGGUAAAGAAGCACCGGCUAACUACGUG